rnacentral:lncRNA from 1 species
UGUGAUGUCGUGCAGCGCGAUGGAUGACAUUGUAGCCUCUGACAUGGUGUUAGGUUCCACUCACAGAUUACUCCAUUACUGGGGAAUCAAGGUCUGAUACAAGGGGAUUUGGGAGGGAGGAAGGAGGAAGUACAGGAGGUAGGGGAAGGAGGAAGCCACCGUGCCGUUUGCCUGAUCCAAGCCCGGAUGGCUAGCUCGUUGCUGUCCCCUGUAUAUAUAUAGCUGGUAGCUCUUGCUGGUUCUCGACGGCCCAGGCCCAUGUGUUGGUCGCUCUUGGUGGGCUGGCUGCGUGGGUCGCUGACAUCCCCUCCUCCUUAACAACCGGCUUGCCCCCAAGCCGGUGCCUGUUCUUCACUGGUUCUGCAAAAUCCAAUCCUCCUGGAUCCCAUUGAGCGUAAGACGAAGUUGUCGGUUGAAGUGACUGUACCGCAUGUUGUUCAUUGUUGUGUGCAGUGCUCUGAAACUCCUUCGGGGUUGAGCGUCCCAGACAUGCAGCAGGGACAUCUGCAUCUGGGUAAGUGCCCCAAGAGAAGCACCACCAAUGGCUUGACAAGAUAUUAACAUGAUCAGCACAGAUCCACAAUGGUGUGAUUUCCCAAAGAACUCCAGCGAGGUGUAGAAACUCUGAAUUAGUUCUUCGCAUAUUGCUGCUGAAUUGUGUAGAAAUUUGUGGUGGAACAAGAGGUGACCACGGAGGCUUGGGUUGCAACAAGACCAAAUGCUCUCCUGGUUUUGGAAUAAGUAGGUCCAACUCAAUCAGAAGGAGCCCACUCCCUGCCACUGAGAUGCCAAGGCAUAUACCAUAGUUGUAAGUGAUUUUGUUGCUCGCCCCUAUAUGAUACUGGCUUCUCCACUUAUGAAACAUGUCACUUAGCUGCCCAACAAGAUACACCAACACUUCAACGACCACCGUGCAUUGGUUCCCAUAGAAAUAUGCAUCAGAACAGGGACCAGAACUAGCUUGCAGGAAAUUAGGCUUCAACAGUCUCCAUUCAUAUUGUCCGCUCCACUUAUACUUGAACAGAUUACCACCUGCUUGUAUACUGGCACAUAUAGGAACUACCCAGUGAUGUACUAAAUCAUGGGAAUCUCUAGUGCGCCAAAAUUUUGCAAAGUAACAACUACCAGCCAACUCAGUGACGUGCUCAUGAACCCAAUGGUAGAGUAACUGUACUGCCUGACAAGUGCAUAAAAAAUAUGAUCCUGGUAACUUCAGCUGGGCAUUUUUUUGACUGAAACAAAACAUCGGUUGGGCGUCAUGAGCGAGAAAUUCAUAAGAGGACUGCACCCAACAGAUGACUAGCCGCUGUUCUGCAAUACUCAAGGCCAGAUCAUCAAUAAAUUGUUUUAUUGGAUGACUCGGGACAGGAAUAUAGCUUGGUACCAUGGGGAUCCAGUAAGCACCCGUCUCAGAAAGAUUCCAAUGCACCUGAGUUGUACAAACAAGAAGUGGUCCCUGAUUGAAACAAAGUAUCAAUACCCACUCCUGAGAAUUUCCCUGAUCAAACUUGCAAAUAGCAGCAACACAGACUUCAUCUGAUUUCAGAUAUGCUGGAACACAAUUGGUUGAUAUAAGAUGCUGACAAUCACCUUUUUCCAAGGCUUCAGUACUGGUCAUCUUGUGCAAAAAGUACAAAUGAACUAGAAUCAUGUGUUGAACUCCCACCAAAAGAAGAAGACACUUGUAUUUCCACCAGAGUACAAAUGGUAUGCAAUUUGGUCCACACUUGAAGGAGCAACACUCCAGGCUGAUUAGCUCGGCAAACUGAAUUCUUGUUUUUGAAACAUCAACUACAUGUUCAGGUCUGAAUUCACUAUCAAAACGACCACUCCCCUUUAAUUUCUCUUGGCUCAGAAAGUGCCAUUGUACUGACAUGCUCAUAAUCUGUAGUUUAUUGUGCCCAAACUGCAGCUUUGCACCCGACAAACAACAGAAUGACUCGUCCAUGGAAUUCGACCGACGAUAAGGAACUUGAGGAGAACUCACAUCGCUGAAUGGUAAUGGUACUAGCUCAACACUGAACCCUGAAACUUCAUGAGGUUGGUGAUGUGUACGUGAAGAUGGCUCCUCAAGAUAGCAUGCAACUGAAUCAUAUUUGAGCGACCGCCACUGCCUUGGUCUGAAUAGGUGACCCAAUUGACCGAUCUUAUAAGUAAUUUUCAGCAAGCACCACCAGGUUUCUCUCGUGAUUUUUGGAUCAGUAGGAUCAUGAGCACAAAACUGAAAUUCCACUGUCGGUAGCUCUGACCAUAACUGUACUGCUUGGCAAUUGCUUGAGAAUGAUGAAAACAGUAGUUUCAGGUGCAUAAUUUGCAAAUACUUCCUAGGUCUUCUCAGCGAAUCUGGAGUACCAGAAAAAUGAUUCAUCGCAGAUGUAACUUGUGACAGCAGCCCAACGUGCUUCCGAUUCAGUUCACGAGAGCAAGCUAAGGACGGCCAUGGCAUGGGCCGUUUCUCGUUUCCAUCUGCAUAAUGUCUCCAAAACGAUGGCCAUGGUUGCGGUCGUAGCACCAGCCACGAAGGUGUCGCUGCUGGGUGGAGCACAUACCUCCGUAGGUUUGUGUGGCGACAGGUGCAUUGCGCCGAACACAUUGUCAGCGUCGAUGCAGUAAGGUCGCUGGAGACGUUGUGGACGACGGUGUGGUCCACCUCACUCGUCACUGGGGUGGUGUUGACAGUGAGUGCAUCGAGCUCUUGCACACUGGCCUUGGAGUCAACGUCGGUGGUGGUCGCCACAGGGGGAAGGACUUUGGUGGUGCUGGUGCCGAUGGCAGGCGUUGCAUGAACCGUCAUGAUCGGCACGACCUCCUGGUGGAUGAGAUCGACCGCGGGCUCAAGGCGGACAGUUGUGGUGGCGGCGUGGACCUCGUCAACUCUGGCGAUGGUGACUACCUCGGUCGGACAUUCCGUCGAACAGGUGACUGGCACCAUCUCGAUGGAAGCAGGGGACGCGCCGGGGGUGAGCUCGAAGGUCUCGUCGGCCUUGGUGGUGGAGGAAGAGGUGUCGGGGACGACCGCAGGGACACUAGAGUCGUCUGUGAGGCCGUCAUCUGCUGCCGUGGCCAUGGGACAUGCCGGCUGCGGGGUCGAGACGCCCGUGAGGAUCUUCAACAUCAGCCCGUACUGCUUGUCCACGGCGUCAUAGCGCGCCAUGGCCCGCGCAUGGUAAUCAUCCAGGUAGGCCUUCAGCUCCGGAUGCAUGGUGGUGGAAGGAAUUGAUGAACUGAGAAAAAAAAAUUGGGCAAAAUUGGGAGGAUUUGUGGCAAAUCGGAAGGGUGGAAGGAGGCUCUGAUGCCACGAUGUUAGGUUCCACUCACAGAUUACUCCAUUACUGGGGAAUCAAGGUCUGAUACAAGGGGAUUUGGGAGGGAGGAAGGAGGAAGUACAGGAGGUAGGGGAAGGAGGAAGCCGCCGUGCCGUUUGCCUGAUCCAAGCCCGGAUGGCUAGCUCGUUG